AUUGAACGCUGGCGGCAUGCCUUACACAUGCAAGUCGAACGGUAACAGGCCGCAAGGUGCUGACGAGUGGCGAACGGGUGAGUAAUGCAUCGGAACGUGCCCAGUAGUGGGGGAUAGCCCGGCGAAAGCCGGAUUAAUACCGCAUACGACCUACGGGUGAAAGCGGGGGACCGAAAGGCCUCGCGCUAUUGGAGCGGCCGAUGUCAGAUUAGGUAGUUGGUGGGGUAAAGGCCUACCAAGCCUACGAUCUGUAGCUGGUCUGAGAGGACGACCAGCCACACUGGGACUGAGACACGGCCCAGACUCCUACGGGAGGCAGCAGUGGGGAAUUUUGGACAAUGGGCGCAAGCCUGAUCCAGCCAUGCCGCGUGCGGGAAGAAGGCCUUCGGGUUGUAAACCGCUUUUGUCAGGGAAGAAAUCUUCUGGGUUAAUACCUCGGGAGGAUGACGGUACCUGAAGAAUAAGCACCGGCUAACUACGUGCCAGCCGCCGCCGUAAGAC
rnacentral:rRNA from 1 species